rnacentral:rRNA from 1 species
UACGUAGGGUGCGAGCGUUGUCCGGAAUUAUUGGGCGUAAAGAGCUCGUAGGCGGUGUGUCGCGUCGGCCGUGAAAACCUGCAGCUUAACUGUGGGCUUGCGGUCGAUACGGGCAUCACUGGAGUUCGGCAGGGGAGACUGGAAUUCCUGGUGUAGCGGUGAAAUGCGCAGAUAUCAGGAGGAACACCGGUGGCGAAGGCGGAUCUCUGGGCCAUAACUGACGCUGAGGAGCGAAAGCAUGGGGGAGCGAACAGG